UGCACAGCCCUACUCUCCUCCUCUUUCACACUCACACACACGCACACACACACACACACACUCUCUCACUCUCUGUUUGUCACUCUUUCAAUUUGUUUUGCCUAUUUCUAUUUGCAUUCUUCAUUCUUUCAAUAUGGCAUCUUCAGGUUUUGAUCAGUUAUGUCAGGAAGCUGCAACUAUUUCAAAGCAUCUUGAAAUGAAAGCUGACAAUGCUGAACUUGAAGCAGCUACCAGGGAGGCUGAAGAAAUUCUACAAAUGUUUAAUCCUCCACUGCUGAAAAAGAAGACCAAACGAGUGAUUUCCUGGACUCGACAGACACAGUGAACUUUGCACUGCAUUUCAAAGCCAGCUUCUCAGCCGCAACACUGAGAACCAGAGUUGAAGUCAAUGUACUGCUGAGAAAGUGCAAGAUCUAUUUAACCAAAAAUAUAAGGAUGCCAGAGGUACCGGAAGGCUCCCCUACCAAUCCCUGGUAAAUCAUGGCAUGACAGUUAAAGUUGCAGGACUGCCCAACAGCCUCAAAAAGCCAUCCUAUUAUGGAAGGAACCAGUUGGAGGCCAUUUUGCAAGCUGCUGAGGAGAUUUCAUUUGAAAUCAAUGCAGCACAAUGCAACUCCACUGACAAAGCAGAAGGAAUGUCAGAGGCGAUGGACGCAGAAGAGCUGGAAGAAAAUUCCUCAAAAACAGCCACCGCUGUAGCUAUCGUGAUGACUGCAGAUUAAGAUGGAGGCCAUUUGUGCUGUGUCUGCCGCAUCCUUUUCGAUGACAGGAAGAAGAAUGCUUCAGAGAAGUGGUGUUCAUGGUCACAGUGCACAGUGUGCCAAUCAUGGUCACACACUGCAUGUCAAGACACAAUGCAAACAGCCUGUAGCGAUGCAUCAGUGAUAGGAAACAUGCUAGUUACACAAGAUGUUUUAUGUUUUAACUUUGAGUUGUUUUUAUUUUGUUCAUGACCCCAUCCCUACAAACACACACACAUAUUUUUAUUUUUAUUUUUAUGUAUUAGGUGCAAUUUAAUAUUUUUCAUGCAAAUGUAUUGUAAUGAUUACACUUAUAAGAAUAAAACAGAUUUUAAAUUCACUCUAAUUUUUAUUUAUUGUUGUCAUUUGUUGGCACCAUAAGUGUGGUCCCUUUACCUGGGACAUGUGGGGACCAAUUAAUAUCUAUUGUACUGAAUUUAGGCCACAUGUUGUAAAUGAUAAGUAGCCUAUUGUUUCAUCUUUUAUCAAUGCUUCGGUAUGGUUGGGUGUUGGCAAGGACCUCACCAUACUUUUCAAUACAGUGAGUCAAAGAUCGAUUUCAUGUUAUGAUUAAAUACUUUACAUAACUUUAACAACUUUUUCGCAGUCUUGUUGUCACUGAGAGGUAUUUGGCAAAUUUGAUAUUGAAAAGUUGGUUUAUGUCAGAGCAGUAGUGAUACUUGUGGAUACUUUGAUAUACAACUGAACAGUACAAUUUAAAUAUAAUGGUUGCUAUGAACGAUGAUGAGGAUGAUGAUGUUAUGUGUAUCUGCUUUAUCAAAGUGAUUUUCCUCCAUCAUACAGAUGAAGUUUAAGCAAAUCUCUAUUACCACAUUUAAUGUUAUGAAAAGAACCAUCAUGACAGAAAUAUAUAUUUAUAUAUGAAUUGAAAGUAAUAAAAAAAAAAUGAGACCAGAAACCCACCAUGAGUUAAAAAACUGGCUAUGCUCAGUUGUAAGGACUUUUUUGAAAUGAUUAAGUAAUUUGACAUUAUGUGUCAUUUUGUGUUUUAAAUUAAAGUGACAACACAAGUAACAAAAUUUGGUGUUCCAAACUGAUUGUGUUGUUUUAACACAUCUGUUUUUAAAGUGUA